AGAGUUUGAUCCUGGCUCAGGAUGAACGCUGGCGGCGUGCUUAACACAUGCAAGUCGAACGGGAAAUAUUUUAUUGAAACUUCGGUAGAUUUAAUUUAUUUCUAGUGGCGGACGGGUGAGUAACGCGUGGGUAACCUGCCUUAUACUGGGGGAUAACAGCCAGAAAUGGCUGCUAAUACCGCAUAAGCGCACAGGAUCGCAUGGUCCAGUGUGAAAAACUCCGGUGGUAUAAGAUGGACCCGCGUUGGAUUAGCUAGUUGGCAGGGCAGCGGCCUACCAAGGCGACGAUCCAUAGCCGACCUGAGAGGGUGACCGGCCACAUUGGGACUGAGACACGGCCCAAACUCCUACGGGAGGCAGCAGUGGGGAAUAUUGCACAAUGGGCGAAAGCCUGAUGCAGCGACGCCGCGUGAGCGAAGAAGUAUUUCGGUAUGUAAGGCUCUAUCAGCAGGGAAGAUAAUGACGGUACCUGACUAAGAAGC
rnacentral:rRNA from 1 species